rnacentral:rRNA from 1 species
CGGGGUGCAGCAGGCGCGAAAACUUUACAAUGCGGGAAACCGUGAUAAGGGGACACCGAGUGCCAGCAUCAUAUGCUGGCUGUCCAGGUGUGUAAACUACACCUGUUAGCAAGGGCCGGGCAAGACCGGUGCCAGCCGCCGCGGUAACACCGGCGGCCCGAGUGGUGAUCGUGAUUAUUGGGUCUAAAGGGUCCGUAGCCGGUUUGGUCAGUCCUCCGGGAAAUCUGACGGCUCAACCGUUAGGCUUUCGGGGGAUACUGCCAGGCUUGGAACCGGGAGAGGUAAGAGGUACUACAGGGGUAGGAGUGAAAUCUUGUAAUCCCUGUGGGACCACCUGUGGCGAAGGCGUCUUACCAGAACGGGUUCGACGGUGAGGGACGAAAGCUGGGGGCACGAACCGGAUUAGAUACCCGGGUAGUCCCAGCCGUAAACGAUGCUCGCUAGGUGUCAGGCAUGGCGCGACCGUGUCUGGUGCCGCAGGGAAGCCGUGAAGCGAGCCACCUGGGAAGUACGGCCGCAAGGCUGAAACUUAAAGGAAUUGGCGGGGGAGCACAAG